GAAAUGCGAUAAUUAAUGUGAAUUGCAGAAUUCAGUGAAUCAUCGAGUCUUUGAACGCACAUUGCGCCCCCUGGUAUUCCGGGGGGCAUGCCUGUCCGAGCGUCAUUGCUGCCUCAAGCACGGCUUGUGUGUUGGGCUUCCGUCCCUGGCAACGGGGACGGGCCCAAAAGGCAGUGGCGGCACCAUGUCUGGUCCUCGAGCGUAUGGGGCUUUGUCACCCGCUCCCGUAGGUCCAGCUGGCAGCUAGCCUCGCAACCAAUCUUUUUAACCAGGUUGACCUCGGAUCAGGUAGGGAUACCCGCUGAACUUAAGC
rnacentral:misc_RNA from 1 species